rnacentral:rRNA from 1 species
GUAUGCCCGGAACAGAUUGCCGUAUUGUAUCCUGGGCAUCAGGUGGCCAGAGACUGCCUUGUUACGACUUCAGUCAUGAAUCUACCGUGGUAAUCGCCCUCCUUGCGUUGAGCUAACUACUUCUGGUAAAAACCCACUCCCAUGGUGUGACGGGCAGUGUGUAGGGCGGGCAAUAUUCACCGCGACAUGCUGAUCCGCGAUUGCAGGUUCAACUGUGCAGUCGAGUUGCAGACUGCGAUCCGGACCGAUCCCAGGUUUCUGGGAUUAGCUCCCCACUCGCGAGGUUGGCGACCCUCUGUCCAAAACCAUUACCAUGACGUGUGAAGCCCUGCCCGCCGGGCGCCGCGGGCUUGACGUCAUCCCCACCUUCCUCCGGUUGUCACUGGCGAGUCUCGUGGGGUGCCGCCUGUGUGGCUUAAUGACAAGGUUGCGCUCGUUGCGGACUUAACCCAACAUCUCACGACGAGCUGACGACAGCCAUGCAGCACCUGUGUUCCGGUUCUCUGAAGCACCAAAUCGCUUCCGGGAUUCCAGACAUGUCAAGGGUAGUGGAGUUUUUCGCGUUAUCGAAUUAGUCCACAUCAUCCACAUGCUUGUGCGGGUCCCCGUCAAAUUCCUUUGAGUUUUAAUCUUACGACCGUACUCCCCAGGCGGUCAACUUCACGCACGUUAGCUGCAUACCAAAGGCCCGAAAGGAAGCCCCAACAGCUGAUUGACAUCGUUUGAGUGAUGGACUACCGGUACUCUAAUCCUGUUGCUCCCCACGCUUUCGUGCAUGAGCGUCAGUGUUAUCCCAGGAGGCUGCCUUCGCCAUCCGUUGUUCCUCCACGCUUAUCUACACCAUUCACUUUCACUGCGCGAAUUCCACCUCCCUCCUGACACACUCUAGCUCGGUAGUUAAAAAUGCAGUUCCAAGUUAAGCUCUGGGAUUUCAUGCUUUCUUUCCGAACCGCCUGCACACGCUUUACGCCAAUAUUCCGAAUUAACGCCACCUAGCCAUUACCGCAGCUGCUGGCACGUCGUUAUGUAAUUGCUAUUCACUACCGGAAGACUAAUCAGGUUGCGGGUAUUAUCCCGUGCCGUUUCUUCUCACCAAAAAUGCUUUACCACAACCGAAGGCCUUCUUCUUUUGCGGAAUUAUUUUGGAUCAGGGUUGUCCAAAAUUCCCCACUGCGCCUCCGUAGAGUCUGGGCCAAGUAUCUCAGUCCCAGUGUGGCUGGUCGUCUCUCAAACCAGCUACGGAUCAUUAACCAUGUUCCGUUACCCACCAACUAGCUAAUCCGAUAUCGUACACUCUAAUACCGUUAAAGGGCCCGAAGGUCCCCGCUUAUUUGAAGGGAGCGUAUGCGGUAUUAGCUACGCUUUCGCGUAGUUAUCCCCGCUACUAGGCACGUUCAGACAUUACUCACCCGUUCUCCUCGCCCGCAGACCAAAGUCGUGCUGCCGUUCACGGCUUACUGUGUAGAAACAUCGCAGCGUUCAAUCUGAGCCGAAUCAAACU